rnacentral:lncRNA from 1 species
CAAAUUUAAAAUUAUGCCAUGAAAGUAGAAAACAUGCAUGAGUUAAACGGCUCUAGAACAAUUUGACCCCUCAUUUAUAUAUAUAAGAAUUUCUCAGCUUGGUUCAUGUAUAGACUUUCUUGGGAGAAAUGUUUCAUAUGUGAUCUUGAUGCUUUCAAGGUAAAAUCAGUAGAACAUCUUUCCAUAUUGAUCAAACUUCAUGCUUUCAAUUUUGAACCCCAAAGCCUUAUAUUGCGAACUUAUUUAGAUGGCGGAAAAACUCAUCCAGUAAUAUAGCUUGUGUGCCUGAAGAUUUUCUUUUGGGAGUACAAAGUAGAAAUUUGAUUUUUAGAUAUGUUGAGAUUAUAAUAGUUCAAACUAUUUAAAAUAGGACAUUCGCCCUACAAGGCGAUUUAUCAUAUUCCAAUGAAGAUGAUUAGAAGAUCAUUUGUUAUGUAGUUGCAAACAUCUUUUUGAGCCUGAAUGGAUGUCCGAACAUUUGGUACAGUGAAAAAAUUGUGUAUGAGGAUUUUCUUUUAUAACCACAAUAUGGAUGUUUGAAUUUUAGCUUCUACAAACCUUUAACAGCUCUGACCUUCCAGAAUAGUUUUCUGUUUGUAAGAAUGAUUUAAAGGCCGUAUUUAUUAUGCAAAUGUUGAGAUCUCUCCAUGCUCCCCACAAACAAUUACUACUUGCCCCCCAUGGGAAUUUGCUCGACAAGGAGAUUCAUGCAUCCAGAUCACAUACAUGCCCUCUGAGAGAAUAAAAAGAGAUAUGGUGAAUCCGCUAUUCAUGCAGCUACGGUGUAUCUACUAUUCAUGCCCUCUGAGUAAAUAAUAUAGAUACGGUGAAUCUGCU